UACGAAGGGGGCUAGCGUUGCUCGGAAUCACUGGGCGUAAAGCGCACGUAGGCGGAUCUUUAAGUCAGGGGUGAAAUCCCGGAGCUCAACUCCAGAACUGCCUUUGAUACUGGGGAUCUCGAGUCCGGAAGAGGUGAGUGGAACUCCGAGUGUAGAGGUGAAAUUCGUAGAUAUCAAGCAGAACACCUGUGGCGAAGGCGGCCUUCUGGACGAUGACUGACGCUGAGACGCGAAAGCGUGGGGAGCAAACAGG
rnacentral:rRNA from 1 species